rnacentral:lncRNA from 1 species
CUGCUUGCACGCUGCCAACAGCGCCGGCGUGAACCCGUGCGAGAGUACGCGGAUCGGUUUCGUGACCUGGCGUCGCAGCUGUCGCUCAAUACCUCUGACCCCGUCCAUACCUUCUCCUUCCUUCGUGGGCUACAACCGGACAUCUACGAUCAGGUGUUCUUGCUGAGGCCCAAGACACUUGAAGAAGCAAUUCACGACGCCAUCUACAUUGAGGAAGGCUCGCAAUGCUACUCUGCACCAAGCAGCCGCAGUCACCGGUGGCGUGACCAGUCUCCCGGCCGCCGCCAUGGCCGCAACAGGGACCGGCGGUUCACGGACUGCCACUACCGCUCGUACGAUGAGUCUCAUUACUACGGCAGCCGUCCGUCACGACAUGGGCGCUACUCAUCGCCAUCAACACAACCCCAAGCAAACCGCGGGCGAGGUCACGACCAUCAUGACGUGCAACAAGUCGACUUGUACGACGCCGAUCAAGCGGAUGAAGCCGCUCUUGAGGGUCUUGCCGCUCACAUGGCACGGCUGAUGCGCCUGUUGGAGGAGGUGACAGGGCAAGGACCUCACAUGUUGGACAUGGCGCGAGACAGUCGUUACUACGAGGAAGAUACGUGCUACGUGCCGUAUGAGGAGUAUGAAACACACCCUGACGCCGAGCGAGGGGGCGAGCAGGUGACCGUCCCUUCCACACAACCGUAUGCGCCGGACACCCCUGAGCUCACACCAUAUUCCACACCUGUAACUGCGCUUGCGCACCCACCUCGCGCCACCUUCCCGACGCACGUUUACGUCAUGCAGCAGACCGUAUCCCCGCCGCCAGCAGUAAUACGGGAUGACACGCCCCAGCGGGCAUAUCACUUGGAGCAGAUUCCCGCGCAGCAGCCCGCGCAACCUGCGGAGGAGAGCCAUGAUGGUGCAAGCGAGGACGUGAAAGGCGUGGACAUGUACCCCAUGCCGUUGCAUCCAACACUCGGAUGGGACGCCGUAUGCAAUCAGGACCCGGCGCAGCCCAUCGAGAGCGCACCUACUGUAAACCCCGGCAGUUCCGUGCCUGGUGUCCAAUCGUCACUCCAACACUUGCCAACCGUGGAAAGGGAUACGCCCGUGCUCGAGUCGCCCGACACCCGCGAGAGGCUUACUCGGGAGUCACCCGCUGUGCAGCAGAUGCCGCCAGCAGCGCCGUAUUUGCCUGAGCACGCCUCGACACCACAGCUUCAGCAGACAGCGCUCCCGUCAGCUCCGCCGGCGGCUUGGCUUGCUUGUACGCCGCCGCGUGCUUGCCUUGAUGCCUCGACAGGGCAACCUGCCGAUAUGACAAGGUGUCAGGGGAAUCGCCAGUCAGAUGAGCUGCACGCGCCAGGUCUGAACACGACGGCCGCCGAGCUCCCAACCGUUACUCCCCGGUCAUCCAUCUUUCAUGCUCAAGGCUGUUGCGACACGCCACUUGUACCGCCAACCUUGCCACCAACCAGCGACACGGUGUUGGAGCUGCCACCCAAACCCAUGUUCCGUUCCCCUGACGAAGCACCAAAGUUGUCCACGGGACCCGAGCUCCCCUUUCACGUCCAGCUAUCGCUUGAUGCGAUUCGUCUCCUUCCGGCCCUGUCAAGCGCUCACCUGGCCGCGCAGGCGCCCGAUCGUGGGACGUGUGGCCUGCAACACACCGCCAUGUGGGACGUACUGCAAGACGGCAUGAGGAUGGGAGAGCAACGACAAGACGGCACGCCUAGUCAGGAGGACUCACGUCCUGUCACGCCCGCUGUGUGGCACCGGUACCCCCUGCCGCGCAACAUGGGCACUUCGCCUCGCAAACCCUCAACGAAUUAUAAGGUUGCUGGCCUACUGUACGCCCUGCUGCAUCGGGUCCUAUACCACACGGUCCUGGGCAAGAGCGACAACCACUCGCGGAGCAGCAGUCUCGACUCACCUGCUUUCAUGGCUGAGCACUCCGCUGAUGCAACAUGCACGUAUGAGGCGCCGGCGCCCACGCCACCACCGGAACCACCGCCGCGUGUGUGUACGGCAGCAUCAAACACCGCCACACGGACACCACAGCCCCGCCACCUGUGCAAGGGAGACCGUCGCACUUAAUAUCAGCAGGCCAAACUAGAAACGAAAUCUGGGAGCGAGGGAACUUUGUUUGGCAAACUCCGACCAGCAGCUGCCAACAUGGCGCUCACCAAAAGCUAGGGAGCUCUUGUACGCCGGUGUGACGCACGGAUGAUAAUCUGGAGCAGGCAAUUAGGAACGACUGGGAGGUAUCAAAGGCAGC